rnacentral:rRNA from 1 species
UACAGAGGUCUCAAGCGUUGUUCGGAUUCAUUGGGCGUAAAGGGUGCGUAGGUGGUGAUGCAAGUCUGGUGUGAAAUCUCGGAGCUCAACUCCGAAAUUGCACCGGAUACUGCGUGACUCGAGGACUGUAGAGGAGAUCGGAAUUCCUGGUGUAGCAGUGAAAUGCGCAGAUAUCAGGAGGAACACCAAUGGCGAAGGCAGCACUCUGGGACGUGACUGACGCUGAGACGCGAAAGCGUGGGGAGCAAACAGG